rnacentral:rRNA from 4 species
CUCUCGGCAACGGAUAUCUCGGCUCUCGCAUCGAUGAAGAACGUAGCAAAAUGCGAUACCUGGUGUGAAUUGCAGAAUCCCGCGAACCAUCGAGUUUUUGAACGCAAGUUGCGCCCGAGGCCUUCGGGUCGAGGGCACGUCUGCCUGGGCGUCACGCCA